UUUUUUUUUUUCCUCUCUCCUCUGAGAACACAUUGCAUAGUUACUGUCAAACACAGAUAGUCCCAUUAGCAGGAGAAGCAAUUCCUCUGACUUUCUGUCUUUUAAAUGAAGAAGACCUGCCUUUUUGGACACUGACCACCCAGGUCAUGAAAGUUUCAUGAGGGGUUCUCGAAGCAGAUGACACCUUUUCAAUUAUAACCACUGCUAUAAUAAACCCCCACAGAGCCACAGGGCAUGGAGUCUACAUCCAACACAUGACACCUAUUUAUUCCCUAAUUACAUUGCAAUAUAUUCUCUCUGUGUGUGUGCUGAUGAAGAUAAAAUAUUCUUUUAAUUCUAUGGCCUCCUGGGGGGUCCGGGGGAGGGGAUUAUGCAUAGGCAAAUUCUGGGAGUUCCUAGAGCUAAAUCAUAGCCUUUGUCCCAGGCUCCUCCACUGCAUAACCUCAAGAAAACCUCUCACUUUCCCUUGUUCUACCACAGUGGUUCUCAAAGUGUGGUCCUGGACCAAGAGCAUCAGCAUCGCCUGGGAACUCGUUACAGAUUCUAAUUACUGGACCCGCCCUGGACCCACUGGAUCAGAAACUUCAGGGCAAUCUGUGUUUAAACAAGCCUCCUGUAGUGAAGUCUAAGAACCGCCAGUCUACAAAAUGGGAAGGAAAGAGCAUUAUUUUAAAUCGAAUCAGAGAUCAGGAAUACCUGGAUUCUACAGUACUGGGCUCCCUUCUGCAUAGCUGUCCCAAUCUGCAGAGUCAGGGCUCCAUUUACCCAUCUGUACAAUGGGGCUACGGAGUUCAAGUAGCUGUGGAUGCUGGAAUUUAAGAGGUACACGGUUACCUGGUACCAGUCUCUAUGGAUACCUAGCAAGACCACAGUUGCCAGCACUCACCAGCUCCCUCCCCCUGUGCUCGGGCGGCAGGAGCUCUGCAGAGCCGUUUGUUCCCCAAUGCCAUAUCUAAGGUCCUCAAUGCAGCUGCCUCUGGGUUACCCUUGGCAACCAGGAGCCGGGGUCAUGGAAGACCACAGAAUCUCCAAAUCUCAUAGCCAACAGCUUCCAGCCUUUCACCUCAGAGCCUUGAACCACUGGAGAGGCUCAGAAUUCUCUGUCACAUUGUCCCAUUUCUUCAGACAUCUUUUGUGUAUUUGCCUCCAUUCCGCAAUGACACUUUACCUCAUGGAGAACUGGAACCUAGAACGUCAGCAUCAUGAGGUCUGGGACUCAGCCUGUCUGGUUCAUCGGUGUAUCGCUUAGACCAGUGCCUGGCAAAAAGGAGGAGCUUAAAAACUAUCUGUUGACCAAAUAUCCCUGGCACGGCGAACACCCUGCCCAUAGUAGGUCCAGUAGUAUGUUCCACACCCUCAAGUAUCUAAAUUCUAAAAGUUACAGAUGGGAAGAGGCAAAGGAACUAUUUGAAAGCUAGGCAACAAGUAGAAAAGGGUAAAAGAGAAGCAAAAGGCUGACUAUAGCCCUUGCCUCAUGGGGUGCUGACUUCCCAGCCAAUUGCUCACCCUAGACCUUGCACUAGAAGACUCUAGGGACACAUUCUGAAUUCGCUGUCUGAGGAGCUGGCUCUUCCAACCGUCCUAGUGCUUUUCUCUCAAAAGCCAAAUUCUCAUCCACCCUGACUCCACUGUCCUUUGACCAGUCACUGAACAAGUCAUGAGCUUUCCUGCCCCUCUCUUUGUGCCCCAGCCUUGUGCCCCACAAUCUUCCUCCCCGCACUGGAAUCUACCCAGGGCUCCAUUCCAAAUCCUCCCUUCUCCGGAGACUUAUCCAUCACUCUGCCCCCCUCCCAGAGGGAUUUCACCUGAGAUCGCCAAGCUUCCGUGGCUAAAAGACAAUGACUGCUCUCCCCGUGGGUUGCACUUUAUGGGGCUGGCUCAGGUCUAAGGGCCCCCUUCACCCGCAGACUUCAGUGCAGGCACAGGAUAGGUAUGCAACAAACUGUCGCCUCAGUGAUGUGUCCUGGGAGGUGAUCCCAGCACAGCAGCUACCAAGAGACCCUUCCUCUGCAGUCCUCUGCCUCUAAACUCAGGCCCAGUCCUCCACGCCGUGUCCUGCCAGAAAGCACCUGCCCCAUGCUAAAAAAGUGAUGAUGCCGGCAUAGAGUAUUGGGGGGAAAAAAAUAAAACAAAACCAAAAAAAAAAA
rnacentral:lncRNA from 1 species